CAGUCGCCGCGGUAAUACGUAGGGUGCGAGCGUUAAUCGGAAUUACUGGGCGUAAAGCGUGCGCAGGCGGUUGUGUAAGACAGGUGUGAAAUCCCCGGGCUUAACCCGGGGACUGCGCUUGUGACUGCACAGCUAGAGUAUGGCAGAGGGGGGUGGAAUUCCACGUGUAGCAGUGAAAUGCGUAGAGAUGUGGAGGAACACCGAUGGCGAAGGCAGCCCCCUGGGCCAAUACUGACGCUCAUGCACGAAAGCGUGGGGAGCAAACAGGAUUAGAUACCCGAGUAGUCCCUGUCUCUUAUAC
rnacentral:rRNA from 1 species